GACGAACGCUGGCGGCGUGCUUAACACAUGCAAGUCGAACGGAAAGGCCUUGCUUUUGUGGGGUGCUCGAGUGGCGAACGGGUGAGUAACACGUGAGUAACCUGCCCUUGACUUUGGGAUAACUUCAGGAAACUGGGGCUAAUACCGGAUAGGAGCUCCUGCUGCAUGGUGGGGGUUGGAAAGUUUCGGCGGUUGGGGAUGGACUCGCGGCUUAUCAGCUUGUUGGUGGGGUAGUGGCUUACCAAGGCUUUGACGGGUAGCCGGCCUGAGAGGGUGACCGGCCACAUUGGGACUGAGAUACGGCCCAGACUCCUACGGGAGGCAGCAGUGGGGAAUAUUGCACAAUGGGCGGAAGCCUGAAGCAGCAACGCCGCGUGCGGGAUGACGGCCUUCGGGUUGUAAACCGCUUUCGCCUGUGACGAAGCGUGAGUGACGGUAAUGGGUAAAGAAGCACCGGCUAACUACGUG
rnacentral:rRNA from 1 species